UACGGAGGGGGCUAGCGUUGUUCGGAAUUACUGGGCGUAAAGCGCACGUAGGCGGCUUUGUAAGUUAGAGGUGAAAAGCCCAGGGCUUAACCCUGGAAGUUGCCUUUAAGACUGCAUCGCUAGAAUCGUGGAGAGGUGAGUGGAAUUCCGAGUGUAGAGGUGAAAUUCGUAGAUAUUCGGAAGAACACCAGUGGCGAAGGCGACUCACUGGACACGUAUUGACGCUGAGGUGGCGAAAGCGGUGGGGAGCAACAGG
rnacentral:rRNA from 1 species